AUUGAUAGGUUGCGAAAACUUGGUGGUAUUUAACUAAAAAAUCUUCUUAAGAAUAUAAUGGAAAGUAUGAUGUCAUACAAAGUUAUGAGUGCCUUUAAUAUGAAAGGCAAAAAUCGUAACGAGUAUGUAAGACAUAGAAAUGUGGAUAUCAAGGAGAAACAAAGUUUUCAGCAACUGAAGUUAUACGAGCUGAUAGUGAGUAAGUAAUUAACUUUGCAAUCUAAAAAAGGAUGAUUUUGUGUUGUCUUUUUGUUAUAUCAAUUUUAUUUUCUAACA